GCUCAGAUUGAACGCUGGCGGCAGGCCUAACACAUGCAAGUCGAGCGGUAACAGGGAGUAGCUUGCUACUCCGCUGACGAGCGGCGGACGGGUGAGUAAUGUCUGGGGAUCUGCCUGAUGGAGGGGGAUAACUACUGGAAACGGUAGCUAAUACCGCAUAACGUCGCAAGACCAAAGAGGGGGACCUUCGGGCCUCUUGCCAUCGGAUGAACCCAGAUGGGAUUAGCUAGUAGGUGGGGUAAUGGCUCACCUAGGCGACGAUCCCUAGCUGGUCUGAGAGGAUGACCAGCCACACUGGAACUGAGACACGGUCCAGACUCCUACGGGAGGCAGCAGUGGGGAAUAUUGCACAAUGGGCGCAAGCCUGAUGCAGCCAUGCCGCGUGUGUGAAGAAGGCCUUCGGGUUGUAAAGCACUUUCAGCGAGGAGGAAGGCAUUAAGGUUAAUAACCUUAGUGAUUGACGUUACUCGCAGAAGAAGCACCGGCUAACUCCGUGCCAGCAGCCGCGGUAAUACGGAGGGUGCAAGCGUUAAUCGGAAUUACUGGGCGUAAAGCGCACGCAGGCGGUUUGUUAAGUCGGAUGUGAAAUCCCCGGGCUCAACCUGGGAACUGCAUUCGAAACUGGCAAGCUUGAGUCUUGUAGAGGGGGGUAGAAUUCCAGGUGUAGCGGUGAAAUGCGUAGAGAUCUGGAGGAAUACCGGUGGCGAAGGCGGCCCCCUGGACAAAGACUGACGCUCAGGUGCGAAAGCGUGGGGAGCAAACAGGAUUAGAUACCCUGGUAGUCCACGCCGUAAACGAUGUCGACUUGGAGGUUGUGCCCUUGAGGCGUGGCUUCCGGAGCUAACGCGUUAAGUCGACCGCCUGGGGAGUACGGCCGCAAGGUUAAAACUCAAAUGAAUUGACGGGGGCCCGCACAAGCGGUGGAGCAUGUGGUUUAAUUCGAUGCAACGCGAAGAACCUUACCUACUCUUGACAUCCAGAGAACUUUCCAGAGAUGGAUUGGUGCCUUCGGGAACUCUGAGACAGGUGCUGCAUGGCUGUCGUCAGCUCGUGUUGUGAAAUGUUGGGUUAAGUCCCGCAACGAGCGCAACCCUUAUCCUUUGUUGCCAGCGGUUCGGCCGGGAACUCAAAGGAGACUGCCAUUGAUAAACUGGAGGAAGGUGGGGAUGACGUCAGUCAUCAUGGCCCUUACGAGUAGGGCUACCACGUGCUACAUGGCC
rnacentral:rRNA from 1 species